rnacentral:rRNA from 1 species
AUUGAACGCUGGCGGCAUGCCUUACACAUGCAAGUCGAACGGUAACAGGUCUUCGGAUGCUGACGAGUGGCGAACGGGUGAGUAAUACAUCGGAACGUGCCCAGACGUGGGGGAUAACGAGGCGAAAGCUUUGCUAAUACCGCAUACGAUCUAAGGAUGAAAGCAGGGGACCGCAAGGCCUUGUGCGUUUGGAGCGGCCGAUGGCAGAUUAGGUAGUUGGUGGGAUAAAAGCUUACCAAGCCGACGAUCUGUAGCUGGUCUGAGAGGACGACCAGCCACACUGGGACUGAGACACGGCCCAGACUCCUACGGGAGGCAGCAGUGGGGAAUUUUGGACAAUGGGCGAAAGCCUGAUCCAGCAAUGCCGCGUGCAGGAUGAAGACCUUCGGGUUGUAAACUGCUUUUGUACGGAACGAAAAGGCUCUGGCUAAUACCUGGGGCACAUGACGGUACCGUAAGAAUAAGCACCGGCUAACUACGUG